rnacentral:rRNA from 1 species
AAUCAACGCUGGCGGCGUGCCUAACACAUGCAAGUCGAACGAGAAAGUGUAGCAAUACAUGAGUACAGUGGCGACCGGGUGAGUAACACGUGACUAACCUACCUUCUUGUGGGGAAUAACCUUCCGAGAGGAGGGCUAAUACCGCAUAACAUCGCGAGGUGAGAUUCCUUGUGAUCAAAGGAGUGAUUCGCAGGAAGGGGGGGUCGCGGCUGAUUAGCUAGUUGGUGAGGUAACGGCUCACCAAGGCAGUGAUCAGUAUCCGGCCUGAGAGGGCGCACGGACACACUGGAACUGAAACACGGUCCAGACUCCUACGGGAGGCAGCAGUGGGGAAUUUUGCGCAAUGGGGGAAACCCUGACGCAGCAACGCCGCGUGGAGGAUGAAGGUCUUUGGAUUGUAAACUCCUUUCGAUCGGGACGAUGAUGACGGUACCGGAAGAAGAAGCACCGGCUAACUCUGUGCCAGCCGCCGCAGUAA